UUGUUGUCGCUCCUUAAGUUUUCUCUCAUUCAUUCUUCGAGAUUUUUGAGUGCCAUGAAUUUUACCCUCACUAUUUGUGUUUACAACUUGAAGAUCUUAAAUCUUCAAGUAGAAAUCAUGUAUCAUUUGUCUUGAGUGAUUAUUAUACAUACCGAUUUCACAUCUAGGUUCUUGAGCGAACUGUUAGAUGAUUAGUGAGGGUUUUGAUAUGUAAUCUUGAGUGUAUUCUGGUUUGAGUCUCGAAUCUGUAUAUUCUUGGACGGUUCACUAGUUCUAGUUUAAUGCAGUAAUUCUUCCGGUGGUGGAAGCACAAAAGGGAAUUAGGAGUUUGCUCUGAAUCUCUUAUCUUAGGGCGAAAAAUUUCUACUUUCUUUCUAUUUUUGUUUCUGCACCUUUAAUUUUU
rnacentral:lncRNA from 1 species